rnacentral:rRNA from 1 species
AUGCAAGGACUGUUCAAGAAUUUAGAGAAAUGGUUCCAUGUUGUACGUGAGAGAUGCGUACCGUGUUGUGUGUGUGUGUUUUGCUGUGCCUGGGAGGAGAGAACGACCAGCUCAUGGGUUGGGCCCCCCUAUGGGCCUAAGACAGAUGGGCAGGGUCCAUACCGGUUUAACACUUCCUCUCAAGAUGACAAGAUGGAUGGUAGAUAUAGAUCAAUUCCAUCUUGUCACAUGCAAGUUAUAGUCAUUUGCUCCCAGUCGCUUUGUCAAGCAGUCUGCAACCUGCUGUCUAGAGCUGACAUGAGUAAGCCUGAUGAUCACAAUAUUAAGUUUCUUAUUACUGAAAAAGCGAUCAAUUUCUACAUGUUUUGUCAUGUCAUGUUGAGCUGGGUUAUUGACAAUGCUUAUAGCAGACUGAUUGUCGCACCACACUCUCAAGGGUCUCUUCCUCAGAAGUUUCAACUCGCUCAGUCGAUUCUUCACCCAAAGCAUCUCACUCAACCCUUAAGAUAA